CAGAGUUAUCUAAACUCCAACCCUGUGAACCGUACCUGUACUGUUGCCUCGGCAGGUCGCGAGUUACCCUGUAGUUCCUACCCUGUAAGAACUGCCCUGUAGCACUUACCCUGGAGUGGCCUACCCGGUACUCGCGCACCAGGCCUGCCGGACGGCCAACUAAACUCUUGACUGUUGUGUAUCUGAAUAUCAUAACUAAAUACGUUA
rnacentral:misc_RNA from 1 species